GAGAAUGGGAAUUAGGUUAACCUUAUGACCAUUGAGCUCUCCUCCUUCUCCUUUCAUGAACGAUGGCGCGAGCGGCGGCCUCUCCUUACUCCCAUCUCCGAUCUGAAAUUCCGGCCACCAUAAAGAAGAAACGGAGCAAUGUCUCGUCUCUCCGGUCAAGCUCCCCUCAUCUCUCUAUUGCACAUCUCUCUUCCUCAUCAUUUCUCCGAUUGAUGAUUUCGUCUCAGCUCUCACAAUCGAUGUCGCGGCCUCGUCUUCUCCUCUGAUUCAAUAGGAGAACGCCGGUGGUUCUUCGUACUUGGUAAAGCUGAAGAAAAGAAUCGGAUAGGUGCCUCACAAAUCCAGGCCUUUUGAUAUGAUGAUGAUGAAGCUCGAUUUUCUGGAAAUGGUGGAAGAGAAGGUUGAAGAUUGGAGCAGAGAUUUAGAGUAAUGAAUUUGUGACUCUGUGAUUCUGAAAGAUGAAGGAUGAAGAGAAAGAUUGGUGAAGAUGAUUCUGUGUUUGAAUCUUGUGCAGGGUGAAGAAUUCGAUUUUUGUUCGUCAACUUUCUACAGGAUCGUCAAGAUUGUGAGAUGAAGGAUUGAAGGAUUGUGAAGUUUGAUGAUGAUGAACGUGGUGGAUUGAAGAGGUAAUGGAAGAAGGUGAAGGAGAUUGAAGUUAUGGUGGUUGUGGAGAUGAUGUAGAUGAAAUUGAAGAUUGAGUUAUCGUGGUGGUGAUUCUUGGUGGAGAAUUGGUUACAGGUUCGAUUUAUUUGUUGGUUUUGCUAUGUGCCGAGUCGGUUUAUUUGCAUUUUGAGCUUGGUUUAUUUUCGGUUGAACACUACAAAGGUAUAUUGGCAUUGGCAUGAAGUUUGAAGAUUGCAUCAAGUUUUAGACAUAGGCUUAGGGCAUUAUAAAUUUCCAUGUAAUUUGCCUCUUUGUAAACUUCUUGAAAAUUGGUAAUGUUGUAUAUCUUGAAUAAUGAAUGAACGUGUAAUUUUUAAAUGGCCUUGUACUUUGAUCUUGCCCGGGACUUUUGAAUGAUUUUUGGAUGUAAUCUCAUAAAUUUCUCUUGCAAAGAACCUUGAACAUGUCUUAUGAAUGGUUGAAAU